rnacentral:misc_RNA from 1 species
AACCUGUCUGGCCAUAAGCAAGAACAGUGGCAUUAUAACCUUGAAACAAACCAUCAACAAGAGGAGCCACACACUCUUGAUACAUGGCAGUUGAGGGAGAAGCUGUGCUCCCGUAAACAUGAUCAAAAGUAAAGGAAUGUGUACCAAUUUGCACCUGUGGCUUCCCAUGGACCACAGAAACACAAUCUUUACAACCCUGAAGCUUCUCAUCUCCAAUAAGUGGCCUUAUAUGAACAGCUACUUUAACACAACAAUCCUCCCCAGCCCCAGGAGAAGUUUCCAUAACAAAUCUUCAACAACAACAAAAAAAACAGAGAGA